UCCUGGUUAGCUCAGUUGGUAGCGCGCUCCACUGCAAAUGAAGAGGUCCCUUGUUCGAUAUCAGGACCAGGCG
rfam:Ixodes scapularis strain Wikel colony gcontig_1108379848378, whole genome shotgun sequence.